rnacentral:rRNA from 1 species
UACGUAGGGUCCGGGCGUUGUCCGGAGUUACUGGGCGUAAAGCGCGCGCAGGCGGCCCGGCAAGCAUGGCGUGAAAGCCCCCGGCUCAACCGGGGAGGGUCGUCGUGGACUGCCGGGCUUGAGGGCGGUAGGGGUUGGUGGAAUGCCCGGUGUAGUGGUGAAAUGCGUAGAGAUCGGGCGGAACACCCGUGGCGAAGGCGGCCAACUGGGCCGACCCUGACGCUGAGGCGCGAAGGCGUGGGGAGCGAACGGG